rnacentral:rRNA from 1 species
GAUGAACGCUGGCGGCGUGCCUAAUACAUGCAAUUCGAGCGAACGGACGAAAACCUUGCUUCUCUGAUGUUAGCGGCGGACGGGUGAGUAACACGUGGAUACCCUACCUAUAAGACUGGGAUAACUUCGGGAAACCGGGGCUAAUACCGGAUAAUAUUUUGAACCGCAUGGUUCAAAAGUGAAAGACGGUCUUGCUGUCACUUAUAGAUGGAUCCGCGCUGCAUUAGCUAGUUGGUAAGGUAACGGCUUACCAAGGCAACGAUGCAUAGCCGACCUGAGAGGGUGAUCGGCCACUGGAACUGAGACACGGUCCAGACUCCUACGGGAGGCAGCAGUAGGGAAUCUUCCGCAAUGGGCGAAAGCCUGACGGAGCAACGCCGCGUGAGUGAUGAAGGUCUUCGGAUCGUAAAACUCUGUUAUUAGGGAAGAACAUAUGUGUAAGUAACUGUGCACAUCUUGACGGUACCUAAUCAGAAAGCCACGGCUAACUACGUG